GAUGAACGCUGGCGGCGUGCCUAAUACAUGCAAGUCGAGCGGACGGACGAGAAGCUUGCUGCUCUGAUGUUAGCGGCGGACGGGUGAGUAACACGUGGAUAACCUACCUAUAAGACUGGGAUAACUUCGGGAAACCGGAGCUAAUACCGGAUAAUAUUUUGAACCGCAUGGUUCAGAAGUGAAAGACGGUCUUGCUGUCACUUAUAGAUGGAUCCGCGCUGCAUUAGCUAGUUGGUACGGUAACGGCUUACCAAGGCAACGAUGCAUAGCCGACCUGAGAGGGUGAUCGGCCACACUGGAACUGAGACACGGUCCAGACUCCUACGGGAGGCAGCAGUAGGGAAUCUUCCGCAACGGGCGAGAGCCUGACGCAGCAACGCCGCGUGAGUGAUGAAGGUCUUCGGAUCGUAAAACUCUGUUAUUAGGGAAGAACAUAUGUGUAAGUAACUGUGCACAUCUUGACGGUACCUAAUCAGAAAGCCACGGCUAACUACGUG
rnacentral:rRNA from 1 species